AGAAAAUCAGAGGUUUAACUAACAUGAUCAAGAUCUCCUAACCAGUUAAGUGGUGAAGUUGGAAUUUUUACCCAAGUCUGUUUGCUAAAUGUAUGCUCUUCAUCAUUACAUCUACAUAGGACCAGCUACAUAACUUGUAGUGCCCAGUGCAAAAUGAAAAUGCACCCUAGGCUGUGAUCCUGGAACUGAACAUCUGAUGAGUCAAUACAGGGCACGGAGUAGUGCUCUUCUCCCUGAACCAUGAGACCUGCAUCUCAGGUUGCAGAAAACAUGUGGAGCAGAGGUACAGAGCCUUCACUUUGCUGCAGCAACAAAUAAAUAAUGGUGAUGCAUCUCACAAUUGAGAUCAUCUUAGACAUGAUGGAAUAUGGAAUCGUGUGCCUGUUACAAGCCAGGCUCUUGUCUGGGUUCUAGAGACGGUGGAAACCAAGACAGCACCAUCCUCUAGUGGUGUUCACAUCCCACCACAGUGGAGUCAGGACUUUGAAGUCCUCCAUUGGAUCUUCUCGGAAGAUGAGGGAAAUGAGAGAGUGUGGAGAGAGAUUUUGUAAGUCCGGUCUGGAAGUGGUCAUUGUUCAGAAUCCAGCCACGUGGGUACAUGGAACUGUAAGAAUAUGUUCUGUGGACACUACAGAUGCAGAUUAAAUCACCUGCAAAGUGAAUCUGUCAGCCCUAACAAUAAGAAUAGCUCUUUUAUGAUGAGCAGGUGAGACCAGGUAAUUACCGAAGAAAGAGAGUGAUGUGUUCAUUGAAGUCUACUCAUGGAGGAAAGAAGGCUAUUUCAACAUGGGAAACUGAAAUCGGGCAUAUCCCUGCGGAAGAAGCUGUCUCUUAGCGAAGAAUAAAACUGUGGACUGACCCCCACCCAUUUGCGAAGAAAGUACUGGGUCUUCAGCUUUCAUUGUUCAGCCGGUGGUCUUUGUGGACAACACCAGGGGCCCCUCCUGCUGAAGACUGUCUGGACUUCCUGAUUUUCACUCCUGUAUAAACCCCCUCCCCCAUUACUACCUUUGUCUCCUUGGGGAAAAAAAAUGUUUUUCACUUAAGCAAAAUAAUAACUACCCAGUAUUUGUUUCUGGAGUGAAAUUGUAAACUUCAUUGUACAUUCUUCCUGGCUUUGAUGCUUAUCGUGAAGAGUUCAGUGAAAAUAAAUUGUUUUUAUGAAAGCAGAGAAACCAUUUGAUAAACACGCUGUCUCUGAAAAUCGUUCCUGCAAAAGAGGUCAUUCUUUCACUUUAAAAGAAAUAGAAUAUAUUUCAGAAAACAGGCAGGACAACAUACAAAUUUUUUUUUAAGGCAGAGUGUAAAUACAGUGAAAAUUGCACACCUCCUGAUUGUGUGGAGUGUUUUGGUUUCUAAAAUAUCUUUAUUGAAGAGCUACUUAGGUCACAAGCAAAUACUUGCUGCAUUCCAUAUUUGUGGUAAUG
rnacentral:lncRNA from 1 species